rnacentral:lncRNA from 1 species
UUUUCUCGAAUGCUUAUCAGGAAGAAGAAUGGCAGUGGGAACAAUAUUCCAGCAAUGGGAAUCCAUGUCACCCCAAAACAGAGCAAGAAGUAAAUUAUCUGGAAUGUUGUGAACUUUGUUAUUUGUUUGAACGGUACAGUCUCCACGAAUGAUGCAUGAGGCUUUUCCAUAAUCCUGACGCACAAUAAUAGUAAUAAUUCAAUAAAAUUGACAGUUGAGGAUAAAGUAAGUAUAUAAAAUUUUGCAGCUAACUUACUUGUGGCGUCUGCUAGGAGCAAUGAGGAGCAUGACGAGCCUUUCCCAGAACUGGUUUCCAGGGAGACUGUCAAUUGCCAUGUAAGCAAAGUAACCCCAAAGUACUGAAGUUGGGAUCUUUUUUAUGACUGGCAUUGCCAGAAGUGACAACCCAAUAAGAAGAGACUGCAAGAAGUUGCUUAACCUUUGCUCAAUUACCCUCACUGGCAAGUAAGCAUCAAUCUUCUCUGGGUCAAAGCUUUCACCAUCAUCUUUGCUUCCUUCAUUUCCAGAUCUCAUCACUGCUUCUUUCAAGUUCUUCAACUCCUUAGCUGCUGAAGGCUGCCAAAAAGGAAAAGAAAUCCCAUUUCUCAACUGAAAAUCAUAGUCUUGCAGCCGUAAAAUGCAUAGUAAUUUGGCUUACUCCUGCAGUUCCAUCCAUUUCGACAAAAGCCUCUUCCAUUUUCCCAUAAACCUUGGAUUUGCUAUCCUUUUGCAUCAUGCUUUCCUUGGCUGUUUGCACCAUCUUCUUCCUUAUCAGCUGCAUUUCAUCACAUCAAGAUAUAAGAAACUCAAAAUAUUUGAAAUUUAUUUGUUCACAAUGAUCCUAUUCUGCAGGUUUUUACAACACUAACCUGUCCACUGAGAACUGAGAGACUCUUACUGUGCAUAGGAGACUGUGGGAGGACUCCGUUGCAAGGUGGAAGCCCA